rnacentral:rRNA from 1 species
UACGGAGGGUGCAAGCGUUAAUCGGAAUUACUGGGCGUAAAGCGCACGCAGGUGGCUGAGUCAGUCGAUUGUGAAAGCCCUGGGCUUAACCUGGGAAUUGCAGUCGAUACUACUCAGCUAGAGUAUGGGAGAGGGCAGUGGAAUUUCCGGUGUAGCGGUGAAAUGCGUAGAUAUCGGGAGGAACAUCAGUGGCGAAGGCGGCUGCCUGGCCCAAUACUGACACUCAGGUGCGAAAGCGUGGGGAGCAAACAGG